rnacentral:rRNA from 1 species
UACAGAGGGUGCGAGCGUUAAUCGGAAUUACUGGGCGUAAAGCGCGCGUAGGCGGCUUUGCAAGUCGGGUGUGAAAUCCCCGGGCUUAACCUGGGAACUGCAUUCGAGACUGCAUUGCUAGAGUAUGGGAGAGGGAAGUGGAAUUUCCGGUGUAGCGGUGAAAUGCGUAGAUAUCGGAAGGAACAUCAGUGGCGAAAGCGACUUCCUGGACCAAUACUGACGCUCAUGUGCGAAAGCGUGGGGAGCAAACAGG